rnacentral:lncRNA from 1 species
GUAAAGGGGGUAGGGUGUGCCUUCACAAUGGGUGUCCUGGUGACCGCCACCUUGUCACACCUCCUGACGUGGUGCACUCUGAAGCACAGAGCAUUGUCGAUCAAGGAUCCUUGCCAAAAAGGUAAAACUGGAAUCUAAUUUGAAUUAAGCAGAAUCUAAUUUAACCUGAAUCUAAUUUGAAUUUACUAGAAUCUAAUUUAACCUGAAUCUAAUGUAGACUCAAAUUCCAGUUUACAGAAAGAACAGGGGACAGGGCCACAAAUCAAACAACAACAUGGGAAAGCCAUCAGACAAAUCCAGAAGGCAGGUGAGAAGGACACCAGGCAGGCGAGGACGGGGAACGGGAGAACAGCUCUGUGUCGCACUCCCUCCCCACCACCGCUGUUCCCACACCUGCCCUGAGCUCGGCCUGAGCAGAGCACCACGAUCCAUAUGCAUUUGAACGUUUAAGGAAAUUUAUAUACCAUCACCACCCUAAAACCAUCUGUUCCUCAUACUUUU